GUGGGGAAUCUUGCGCAAUGGGCGAAAGCCUGACGCAGCCAUGCCGCGUGAAUGAUGAAGGUCUUAGGAUUGUAAAAUUCUUUCACCGGGGACGAUAAUGACGGUACCCGGAGAAGAAGCUCCGGCUAACUUCGUGCCAGCAGCCGCGGUAAUACGAAGGGGGCUAGCGUUGCUCGGAAUUACUGGGCGUAAAGGGCGCGUAGGCGGACAGCUUAGUCAGAGGUGAAAGCCCAGGGCUCAACCUUGGAAUUGCCUUUGACACUGGCUGUCUUGAGUUUGGGAGAGGUGAGUGGAACUCCGAGUGUAGAGGUGAAAUUCGUAGAUAUUCGGAGGAACACCAGUGGCGAAGGCGGCUCACUGGCUCGAUACUGACGCUGAGGUGCGAAAGCGUGGGGAGCAAACAGGAUUAGAAACCCCAGUAGUCC
rnacentral:rRNA from 1 species